rnacentral:tRNA from 1 species
GUCACGAUGCCAGAGUGGUUAAUGGGUGAGACUUGAAUUACUUCUUUCAAGCCAUCUCAUGGCUUCGGCCGCGUAGGUUCGAACCCUACUCGUGACG